ensembl:lncRNA
CCGCUGGGGGGCUCCCGUUACUGCCGCAGGACGGUGCUGAGCCGUGGCGGUGGCCCACUGCAGGCUCACAGACAGCUACUCACUGGACUGGGAGGUGACUGAAGGCAGCUCAGAUGGCGACCCCAUGUUACAGGCGAAGCUGAGGCAGAGAGAGAACCCAGCUGCUUCCUGUUUCCAAGAUAAAAGCCUCUGAGAGGCCCAUCCCCGCAGCAGCAGCGCCAGCUCGGAGGAGCUUCGUGUGAAUAAACCAGAAGCAGGCGGAGGAAAUACCCACACAGUCUCGCCGUGACGCCAGGGUCGGUUACUCACAGCGCCCGGCCCCGUGGACGGGACAAGAGCCUGUCUCUCCUCCGUCACGGGCCACAUGCAGAGAGACCAGGCUACAAUGUGGGAGCCAGUGUGGGGCGGUCCCGGGAGUGAGCCCCGACCGGGUGCCCUAGAGUUCUCUACAGGCCCCAAAGGGAUCCGCGUGCUGGGUGCAGGGGGCCUGGGGGGAGGGCAGCCGUGACCCCCGGGGCUGCCUCUGGCCGGGAAGGACGCCUGCUGCAGAACCCCUGCUCCUCCCGCUGGUCCUGGAG